rnacentral:rRNA from 1 species
CCUACGGGGUGCAGCAGUGGGGAAUAUUGGACAAUGGGCGAAAGCCUGAUCCAGCCAUGCCGCGUGUGUGAAGAAGGCCUUCGGGUUGUAAAGCACUUUCAGUGGGGAAGAAAGCCUUGGGGCUAAUACCCUCGAGGAAGGACAUCACCCACAGAAGAAGCACCGGCUGAACUCCGUGCCAGCAGCCGCGGUAAUACGGAGGGUGCGAGCGUUAAUCGGAAUUACUGGGCGUAAAGCGCGCGUAGGCGGUCUGAUAAGCCGGUUGUGAAAGCCCCGGGCUCAACCUGGGAACGGCAUCCGGAACUGUCAGGCUAGAGUGCAGGAGAGGAAGGUAGAAUUCCCGGUGUAGCGGUGAAAUGCGUAGAGAUCGGGAGGAAUACCAGUGGCGAAGGCGGCCUUCUGGACUGACACUGACGCUGAGGUGCGAAAGCGUGGGUAGCAAACAGGAUUAGAUACCCUGGUAGUC